UACAGAGGGUGCGAGCGUUAAUCGGAAUUACUGGGCGUAAAGCGCGCGUAGGCGGCUUUGCAAGUCGGGUGUGAAAUCCCCAGGCUUAACCUGGGAACUGCAUUCGAGACUGCAUUGCUAGAGUAUGGGAGAGGGAAGUGGAAUUUCCGGUGUAGCGGUGAAAUGCGUAGAUAUCUGGAGGAACACCGGUGGCGAAGGCGGCAGCCUGGACCGGUAUUGACGCUGAGGCGCGAAAGCCAGGGGAGCAAACGGG
rnacentral:rRNA from 1 species